AUGAGAAGGAAAACAAUAGCAAAGCGCAUUUUCGACCUCGAAUAUGAAGAAGAGGAGGAGGAAGACCCCAAAUACGAAGACUUUGGCAACACGACAUCGCACAGCCAGCCUCCAUGUAUACCAGUGUCAGACAACCCCAGUGUGGAACGCAUCGAGGAGGGUGACUUCAUGGCAGAGGGUCUUGGAGGCCUACAGUCACGUUCAAAGGCUGACCUGGUUGCCAUGGUGCUGAGCAUGCAGCGAGAGAUGGACAACCUGAGGGAGCAAAUCAGAUGCCUCACAGCGUGUGGAAAGUUGGCACGUAACCUGGAGGCCCUGAUCGAGAGGACGGAGGUGUGGUCGAGCAGCACGGACCGGAGAACUACAUCUCCCAGCAUGCCCGAGAUCCUGGUGAGGAGUGGUGCCAUGACAACGUCGGCCCUGCUGGCCUCUCCAGGGGUGCUGAACGGGUGCUGGGCGGCCAAACUAGAGCCCCUCCACCCCCACCAGAAUGGACAACCUCCGGGGUCUCAUGAUGGGGGUUCCCAGAUCAACGGACCACCUCUCUAUCAGGAGUUCAUCACUGCAGAGCUGCUUGACCGCUGUAACACGGGGACCACUGCCCAGAAGCUGACCAACGACCUGCUCCGGGGCCUCUAUGAGAGGGACUGCCUGGCCUCUCACUCCAUCUCCGGCAUCGUCAACAACAAGAGGGGCCAACCCAAGCCUGCCCUGCCUGCAGACGAGAUCCAGGCAAUACUGAGGGCGGUGCAGCACUACUUCCCAGGGAAGACGGACUCGGAGAUCAAGGGCUACAUCCGCCAGAAGCUGCAGAACGAAGCCAAGCGGCUCCGCAAGAAGCCUCAUCUGGCCUUGAAGGUGGAGCCCGAGGCCGGGGCUGAGGGGGCAGAGACUACUUUCUACACCUAAGCAGUGUGGCCACGCCAAACCCCACCCCCUGUUCCACCCAGGGAGUGAAGUACCCUGCCUCUGUCCAGGUUAAAGUGCAAUUAUGGGAGGGAGACACACGUAAAAACUGCUGUGAGAGGGAACCAAAAUGGAGCAGCCUUAUCAACACCAGUCUAGUCUAUCUGUUUGUCUGUCCAUUCCCAGCCACGUCUCUGGGCUGGGAGAGAAAUAGGCUAGUGAGGGAGGAGUCUAUUUGUCUGACAACGUGAUCAUUCCAGGGGAAGUGUUAUGGACUCCAGUCUGAUCAAGACUAGUUACUGCUCAGGUGAAGUAAGAUGAUACUGUAGCUUAUUCUUCCUCUGUCCUCUGGCAUCGUUCGCAAGCCUCAGCCAGCUAGCCAGCCAGCAGUAGUAGGCCUAGUAGAUGGCAAGUGAUUUGUUACCAAGUUUAGUACUCUUGUUUCUGUGAAAGAGGUAGCAGUCAGUCGGUGCUCCAUAGAGAAGUCGUAACAGAAGCCCCGAACAACAUAGCCGUCAGCGAAGCUGCGCUGCACUCUGUGUCACUUCAGUUUGAUGUACAGUAUUGUCAUUGACCUCGUGAAAUGAACCUAGCCUUAGUAUUGAAUGAAUUAUAAAAAAAUAAAAAAAAGACUUUUUUCCCCCCCAAAAGCAUCAUUGUCCUUUUUAAAAGAAAAAAAUCAGCUAGAACUGAUACUUACACGUCAUGUUAUCAUAGCAGCAAUACCCUCGAGACAUUUUCAAAAUGGUAUCUUGUAAAACAUUACAUUGACAUUAUUUAAAAAUGAAGAGAUUCAACCCACCCUUUUCUAAUGAUUACUCUUUACGUUGCAUGCUGCAUCAAAAUGAACCCCUAAUUAUUACCUAACAAUUAUGCCAGUGCAACUGGAGACCAAUAACUUCACCAGAUAUUGGCCACAAGAUUCAGCUGUCUUUCUAAAGGACCUGUGUUCUUCCUGAAGCCCCAGGAUGAAAAGGAGUUUCCCCCGGGUCCUCAGAGGAACCCAGCCUCGUCCCCACUCACCAGCUGUGCUCCUCACAAAAGACCCACAACGGAGAGUCUCCCACCGGGAACAAAGGAUGGCGUGGGAACCACAUAUGCUCCAUAAUCAAUAAACCCCCGUGCUUUCUCUCUUAUCCCGCACCCACACACACUCAGACAGACGUAUGUACCCCACAAAUCUGCUCCAUCAUUAUCUGUGCUGCAUGAAGCUAAAUCAUUUUGGGUGUCAAUAACACCACAGAUAAGUCUGCGACGAUGGUUUGAGUAGGACCAGGGUUGAUUUAGACCUGGGUGGGACAAGGGAGUGUCUCUUUUUGGACAAUCGGUUAUCUCAGCCAUCAAAUGAUAUUUGUCACAUGCACCGAAUACAACAGGCGUAGACUUUACCGGGAAAUGCUUACUUACGAGGUCCUUUCCCAACAAUGCAGAGUUAAAAAAAAGAAAUCUGAUUUGGUAACACAAUAAAAUAACAAUAACGGGGCUGUAUACGAGGAGCAUGGUACCGAGUCAAUGUGCAGGGGGUAGGAGGUAGUUGAGGUAGUUGAGGUAAUAUGUACAUAGGGGUAAAAGUGACUAGGCAAUCAGGGUAGAUAAACAGGGUAGCAGCAGCGUAUGUGAAGAGUAUGAAAGUGUGUGUGUGUGUCGAAACCCCUCUCUGUAGAUUUCAUUCCUGUGUUAUGAGCAUCUGCCUUGUUUUGCCACUGUGUCUCUGUCCUGCAAUAUUCAUGAGUGAAAUGUGUCCCUGUCAUUUUCUCAGCAACUCAUCAAAGAUGUUGCCUUACAUCUUGAAAAAUAGAUAUUAUUCUACCCAAAUACAUUGCUCUGUGACACUAUACCUAUUCAUUUGUGAUCCAGAGAUCUUCUCUUUCAGUACAUUUUUGAGACCAUCUAACAUCAAGAUAGUCACCUCUCAAUUAAAGGAAUCAGAGGUUUCUCCUAAGGUGUGGCGUAACGACCGGGCCUAGAUAACUGUGGCCCCUUCAGGCCCCUCUUCUCUAAACCGUGGGGGACAUAGAUAGAUGUAUAACCUCACCAUGGCUCUCUCCCUGAACUGGGUCAGAAACAGCAGGGAGGGAAACACAGAUUAGACGUGUAUUAAAAGUGAAUUGAGUGUCUUUCCCCUGCUGUGAAUUUUCAAUAUAUCAUUUACACCACGUUUCCGGUGGCAAGCAAACAUAUCCCACAAUGCCUUGGAACGCAGGGCGCCAGGGUACCCACAGUGCCACACUCGCACAACCCACGCGCCGCGUUUACAUUAUAUUCAUCUCCCAUCUCUGUCAAACCGUAGAAAAAUGAUUCUGGGGGAAAAUAGACUGUCUAAUUGACAGAAGAAUGAUUUGUCUUUGUUGUGAGGAGUUUGGCAACAAUACAUUUCUUCCAAACAAGUGUUUUUUAGAUUUGUAGCUCUGGAAAUUCAUUUGUGUCUGCAAUGUUCAUGUAUAACUGUUACAGUUAGGAUAUUAAGUUGUUCUCUGCUCAAGAAUGCUGUAAGCUAUGAGCAAUAUUUCUUCAAAUCAGCUUUAUUCCAAUGAAUGUAUGUGGCCAGUCAGUUGGCAAGGCUGUGUAGGGAACACAUGCUUUCCCAAUGUCCUCAACUGUGAUGUGUCCCAUAGACCGAGCCUAGAGAGGCUUACAGGUGUUACAGUACUCAGAAAUAGGACCGUAUGGAAUCCAAUAACACUGAUACAAGUGGCUAACACUGUAGCUGUCCACUCAUCUGCGCUAGCACCUCUACCUUAUUCAGUUCCCAUGACACUCAGCAGACAAACAAGAGUCCUGUGAUGUCACAACAACCGCGGGGCCGUACAGUCAUCACAGCGAUGCAGGAACAUGUUGAGAUGGGGUCAUUUUCCUCAAGUCCCCAAUGAGGAUCUAGGACAGUGGUCGGGAACAGAACAGGAGAAGGCUCCUAGGACAAGGGUCUGGUCUGCAUGAUUGAAUGGCUAGUGAUCCGCUUCUCUGCUCUGUUUAAUGGCCUCGCUCUCUCUCUCUCUCUGCGAAACAAAGAAAAGGGUUAGGACACUCAUAAACACUAUGUUACGAGAGGGUAGAAUAAAGGAAUUGACGUUUGUGUCUAUGUGUGUGUGUGUGUGUGUGUAAACUGGACGCACAUUUUUGUCUUCACGUACAAAACCGCUGCGAUCCAUAAGUAUUUGGAGACGUACACAUGUCCAUGUGAGUGUCAUCUCUUUGCCGUGGCGCAAGGAGCAGUGGUAGUGCUCUCUCUGAUGGUAGCCGCUCCUCUUGGGGACGACUCGGUGUCUGUCUGUCUGUCCGUCGGUCUGUAUGUCUGUCUGGAGCCCAGGCGGUAAAAGAGGUUACCAUCGCCCCCCAGCAGCCAAACACACAACGCACCGAUCACCACAGCAUGGCCGGUUGCCAAGGCAACCCCAGUCCCUCGAGAUGGCCGAUCGUAGAUUGUGUGUGUGUGUGUGUGUGAGGGGAGAGGAGGGGGAUGUCUGACUCUGAACCAGGGGACAGGGCUCGACUCAGCCCCGGCCCGGGUCUGCCUCACAGAGCACUAACACCUGCCCACUCAUGAUCUGUGGGGAAUUGUGGCAGCGAGCAGAUGAGGACCCUUAAAAUGUAGUGAGGGAAGAGAGAGAGAAGGCAAAGGGAAAAAGGGAGGUGGGCUGGGUACGUCGGCAGGCAACUAGGCAGGGUUAGGGCCCAAAUGAGAGCAGCUGUCCAAUGAGAGGAGUGGAAUUUAUUUAUUGUCUGCUUGGAAGAGGUUGUUCCACAGGGUGGUUUGAUUAAUGUCCAGCCCUCCAUCUUGUCAGUCUGUUUUUGUCCGCUGAAAGGAAAACAAAGCGCAGGGGGCCGGGGGGAUGCAGAGGGGGGGGUGUGGGGCGGCGGUUAAUGGCUGCCGCCGCCGCUCCUUUUCAUGUCGUCUGGGCCUGUCAGCCCUGAUUGAUGGCUCCGACAAUGAUUGGACAGACCCCCAGCUCAGUGCUUAUCAUGGGCAGCAUCGUGACAGAGAGGGAGAGAAGGAGAUUUCUACUUGUCCAAUGGUGUACGAGAAAAGAGGUACAACUCACCAAUAAGCGAGGAAGAAGCAGAUCGAGCGAGAGAGAAAAGGAGAGAGAGGGAUUUGCUUGUCCUAUUGCAUUGCUGGGAGAGAGGAAGGAAGACGAGAGGGAGAGCGAGAGAAAGAGAAAGAGGAGGGAGGGAUUGUGAGAGGUUUUUGUAUUGAGCCUGUCCAAUUACUCUAGAUUACAUAUUUGGAUACAAGGAUCAGGAAACGUGACUAGUGUGUCCAAAUCUUUGUCUUGGCACAGUGGGCACUGACACACUUGGUGUUAGUGGAUUCAUCUGCCAUCACCAAUAUUGCUCAGUUUACCAACCUGCGUCCAUUCCUGCUGUUUCAAACCCCGUACCUACGUCAACCUCAUUGGGUUACACAGAGUACACCGGGUCACUGAAACGGAGUCCUGUCGUAAAGCUAAAAUUAAAGAAUGCAACAUGAAAACGACCCUGGAAACCAGAUGGUACAUGUGCUUGUUUCAAUUAAGAUGAAAGAAAAUAAAAUCUCAUUGCAAUUACUUAGGCAAUUUACAUUUCCCAAGUCAAUGCUAAAUAAAUACCAGGCAACUAGAGGACAGUAAAAUAAAGUAUAACUCAUGUAUCAAAUUUAUAAUCGCAUACAUUACACUGUAACACGACAAGCUUCAAAUAUUCAAUAUGUAUAGUUUUCUUAAAAGUAAUGCCAGCUGUCAUAAUCUGCCCUGAUUUGUCAAUGUCAGAUUUACACUGAGUAUACAAAAUAUUAGGAACACCUUCUUUAUUUAGAUUUACAUCCCNNNNNNNNNNCCCCCCCCUGCCGAACCCUCCGUUUGGGAACCACUGCUAUACUAGCA
rnacentral:lncRNA from 13 species